UACGUAGGGUGCAAGCGUUGUCCGGAAUUAUUGGGCGUAAAGAGCUCGUAGGCGGUUUGUCGCGUCGGCUGUGAAAUCCCGAGGCUCAACCUCGGGCCUGCAGUCGAUACGGGCAAACUAGAGUGUGGUAGGGGAGACUGGAAUUCCUGGUGUAGCGGUGAAAUGCGCAGAUAUCAGGAGGAACACCGGUGGCGAAGGCGGGGUCUCUGGGCCUGUACUGACGCUGAGGAGCGAAAGCGUGGGGAGCGAACAGG
rnacentral:rRNA from 1 species